rnacentral:rRNA from 1 species
UACGUAGGAGACGAGCGUUGUCCGGAUUUAUUGGGCGUAAAGAGCGUGUAGGCGGCCUGAAAGGUCAGCUGUGAAAACUCGAGGCUCAACCUCGAGACGUCGGUUGAAACCAUCUGGCUAGAGUCCGGAAGAGGAGUGUGGAAUUCCCGGUGUAGCGGUGAAAUGCGCAGAUAUCGGGAAGAACACCCGUGGCGAAGGCGGCACUCUGGGACGGUACUGACGCUGAGACGCGAAAGCGUGGGGAGCGAACAGG